rnacentral:rRNA from 1 species
GACGAACGCUGGCGGCGUGCUUAACACAUGCAAGUCGAACGGAAAGGCCCUGCUUGCAGGGUACUCGAGUGGCGAACGGGUGAGUAACACGUGGGUGAUCUGCCCUGCACUUCGGGAUAAGCCUGGGAAACUGGGUCUAAUACCGGAUAGGAGCCAUCUUUAGUGUGAUGGUUGGAAAGUUUUUUCGGUGUAGGAUGAGCUCGCGGCCUAUCAGCUUGUUGGUGGGGUAAUGGCCUACCAAUGCGGCGACGGGUAGCCGGCCUGGGAGGGUGGACGGCCACAUUGGGACUGAGAUGCGGCCCAGGCUCCUACGGGAGGCAGCAGUGGGGAAUAUUGCACAAUGGGCGCAAGCCGGAUGCAGCGGCGCCGCGUGGGGGAAGACGGCCUUGGGGUUGUGAACUCCUUUCGCUAGGGACGAAGCUUUUUGUGACGGUACCUAGAGAAGAAGCACCGGCUAACUACGUG